ensembl:miRNA MIR3674 microRNA 3674
ACAUCACUAUUGUAGAACCUAAGAUUGGCCGUUUGAGAUGUCCUUUCAAGUUUUUGCAUUUCUGAUGU